UAGGUAGGGUGCGAGCGUUAAUCGGAAUUACUGGGCGUAAAGCGUGCGCAGGCGGUUCGGUAAGACAGAUGUGAAAUCCCCGGGCUGAACCUGGGAACUGCGUUUGAGACUGGCGGGCUGGAGUGCGGGAGAGGGAGGCGGAAUUCCACGUGUAGGGGUGAAAUGCGUAGAUAUGGGGAGGAAUACCAGUGGCGAAGGCGGCCUUCUGGACGGUAACUGACGCUGAGGCGCGACAGCGUGGGGAGCAAACAGG
rnacentral:rRNA from 1 species